CGCACGCGCAUCUGACGGUUGUCUCGGUUACUCAUCCCCAGCAGCGGAGUGAGACCCUGUCAAAAAAAAAAGAAAGAAAGAAAAUAGAAGCCAAGAAUGGAGACCCAAAUGACUGUUCAGAGUUUCUUCGUGGGUUGUCUUCUGGCCUCAGAGUAUCCCUUAUCAGAACCUUGGGCCCCUGGGCCCCUUCACUCAGUACUUGGUGGACCACCAUCACACCCUCCUGUGCAAUGGGUAUUGGCUUGCCUGGCUGAUUCAUGUGGGAGAGUCCUUGUAUGCCAUAGUAUUGUGCAAGCAUAAAGGCAUCACAAGUGGUCGGGCUCAGCUACUCUGGUUCCUACAGACUUUCUUCUUUGGGAUAGCGUCUCUCACCAUCUUGAUUGCUUACAAACGGAAGCGCCAAAAACAAACUUGAAGUUGUCUGAAAGCUUGCUCUACACUUUUACAUUCAUCCUCACCCUUUUUUUUGUGGGGUAGAGGAGGUGCAGUAAUUUACUCAGUGAUCUUUCUACUUUCUAGAAACUGUCCUUCAAAGCUCUUUAAGACCCCCUCGUUAGUCAGUUUUUUCUCUUAUAUGCUCUGGUUGAGCUUGAAUAGACCAGUUGUUACUUAAGAAAGAAACAGAGAAAGAUUUUAGCUUUUCAAUCCUAUUUGGCAGAGGACUUCAGCUACCUUCUUACAGUCUUUGGCUGUGUUGGUACCCUCGUGUGCUCUGAGCUAAGCCACAUACUAAACUGACUUUUUGGUUUGUAUACCCUUGCUCCCGCCUUCUGAUGAAAACACCUUACCCUCACAACCACCAUCUUUCCUCUCCUUUCCAAAGCUCUUUCCACCUUGCUGCACUAAG
rnacentral:lncRNA from 10 species